rnacentral:tRNA from 1 species
GCGGGCGUGGCGGAAUGGCAGACGCGCCGGGUUUAGGUCCCGGUCCCGAAAGGGGUGGGAGUUCGACUCUCCCCGCCCGCA